GCUGGGAGGUCAAUGGAGGACAUCGGUGUGGGGCGGAGCUAAGGGAGGAUCCAUGGGAGGCGGGGCGGGGCUGCGAGGCGGGCCGUUGACUUGAGGGGCGGGAGGCGGGUCCUGGGCGUCGGCUCCAGAGCCCGGGACUCGCACCCCCCAGUCUUCCACAGCUUCCCCGCCGUGGGCGUCGCUCUCAACAGCAAAAACUAGCUGCCGCCCUCGCUGCGGGGCUGCUCCUGGGAAGGCCUCCCACAGAUAAACCCCUUCUUGUCAUCCUUACGAGCCUUCGGACCUGGACAGUUCAGACCCACUCUACCUGGCCUGACAGCUGCAGGGCGAGACGCACCUUGAAGGUUGGGUGUCGGGCGGAGUUCGCCUGAGCAUCCUGAUUGCACCAGCUGGGGCUCGUAGCCAACCAAAGCAGAACCACCUGUUGACUGAGGUUGUAAUUUCUGUAGAGGCUUCUACCCGUUUAACCCCUGACAGUCUCAGAAAUUUUCAGAUCCAUUCUGGGGCUCCUGAAGGCUAGGCAGCCAUGAAAGAGUUUGGGGGGGGGGGUGGGAGUAGAAGGUCCAUGAAUACUUUGAAAUGUACAGAACAUUUUGUGUAUAUGUAUGUUUCUGGAGAAAGGGUAUAGAGUUUGUAUCGGAUUCCCAAGGGGACCUGUCACCUCCCUCAAGUCACCAAGAGUAUUUUAGUAGUUUGGGAUGCUGGACCUCUGGCUUAGCCAGGCUUCUGAUUCUGAUUCCAUCUCUUUGGCAUAUACCAAAUGCCCCAGAUGUAAGUCCUCUAAUAGUCACUUUUAGGAAUAGUGUUAAAGUAGAAGCAGAGGAAAACUAAAGGAUUGAGCAUUUAGGAAGAAAAAAAUUUCAUGAAAAUUGAUUUCCUAGUGAAGAUUGAUAAACUCUGUUUUUACAAAAAUAGAGUUGACAAACAGGUGAGAUUUUUAUUUUUAGGUUCUUCAAACCCUAGCCACACUCCACAUUGCAUAGAACUAAUAGAGAUGAAAGAACUGGUUAUAUUCAUCAUUGAAAAAGAGGGAGAAUCAGUCUAUUUGUGUCAAAACCACCAUGUACAACUUUGUCCCGAUACAUUUAUAUAAAAUAAUAUAUGUGCCUUGUAUUUAUGUCACCUAUCGCUAAAGAACUCCAGGUGUGUGGGAGGUGAAUUUAAAUUAACUUUAAGAAAUUCAAAUACUGUAAACCUUAAAAGACCAACUCCAUUUAUAAUCAGCGUUGACAGUAAAUGUACCGCAUUAAGAUUUGGAAGUUCAUUCCUAUGAGAAAUCUGUUUUCUUGGGUUAUCUUGUCACACUUAAAAGUCUACUUAGUUAUGUUCAUCUAUUUAAGACAUGUAAAUAGAGCAGAUUCCUUGCAUAAUAAUACUCAAAUGAAUCAGGACAUUUCAGAUUUAAUUUAAAUCAGAACAUUAAUCCUCACCCCUUCUGAUAAUAAAGCAGGUAUUAUAAAUCAGAGGUACCUACAGUCUCUUGCUCAGACUGGCCCACCUAUUAGAGAGAUUGACCAGGUAAACUCAUCCUGAGUUUCCGUAUCCAGAUAUUGGUGACCUCUGAGCAUGUCUCUUCUGUAACGUAGAUUCUGCUCCACCCAUGUAGAUAGAAGUCCUGUGUAGUUCUAUAUUUGAUUCUGUGCCUAGUUGUGCUUGACUUGGAGUAACAAGUAGCCCUUUGUCAGGAUCGUCAUUAUCACCUGUUUCAUCUCCACACCCACAUCACUGUCCAGGUUCUUGGUCUGUCAGAAUCUUUGUUGCAGUUCAGUAGGUGAGGCAGGAGUCCAAGAGCCAUGUCUAAAGCUGAUACUGUAUGCGGGUUUACCACUCGUGCCUCAACCUGGAAAAUUCUAUCACAGGGAAGCUGGAUGUGGAUGGCACCACUGGAUCCAUCUGGUGCCUAAAAAACAUAUGUGGGAUAAUCCAUUUAAAAUAUGCUGAGUUUAAGCCAUGUUUCAUUUAUCUACCUUAUGGAAAAGUUCACACAGAGCCUAAUUUUGGGGAUCUAAUAACUAUAUGGCUUGCACAUCAUAUAGAUUCAAUGUACCAUACCCCUUAAUUUUUACAUCAAGGGAGUUGCCUAUGGUCUCUAGACUUGUAAUAGUGAAGCUGGACAUGCUGAGUGCUAGGUGCCAAGAAAAGCCAAGGAACUUUGUGGUCAGACAGUCCUGGAUACCAUCCUGGCUCUUGGCUUAUAGCUGUGUGAUCUUGGGCAAAUUAAUCUCUCCAAACUAUUAUUUCCUCAUUUAAAAAAAUGACAUGAAUGCUUCCUUCAAAGGACUGUUGUGAGAAUUAUGCAAAACAAUGUUGGGAAAGCAUUAAGCGUGACAUCUGGCCUAGUAUACCAUGGGUUUGCAGUUUGUGAUUUUUUUCUUUCUGAUUCCAAGCCUAAUUACUUUUUUUCACUACAGCAUACUUUGAAAUAUUUUCAUGCACUUCUAUUAGUUAGACUCCUUUUGGUUGCAAGCAGCAACAACCCAAUUCAAGCUAGCUUAAGGAAAAGGGAAAUUUAUUUCAUUUUAAGGAUACAAGGGUAUUUUGGAACAUCUCUCAGAACCCAGGAUCUCAGGAACAGUGUGAGGCCAGGGAAGGGAUGCUACCACAGGGAGGGGGCUGUCUCUCUUCGGGCCACUCUGUAACUUCUUUUCUUGAGAGUCGGUGGCCUCCUCCUCUGGGUAUGCCUGGCUCUCUCUGCUCCUUGGACCACAUUGGGUAGGGUGGGGCCACUCACAGUAAAGGCUCUGAGCUUUCUCUGAUCCAGUCCAGCUGGUUCAGCCCUUUAGAGGAAGGGCCUGCAGCUGGAGCAGUCAACAGAGGCUAGCAAGGCAAAGUCACUUUGUGGCUGCUGCAGCUGCAAACACAAGAAGCAAGCGAGAGGGGGCCAGGAGAUAAUUCUUAGGAAGAGGGUUCUGGGCAGAGCAUCUAAUAAGGGCUCCUGAUGACCUUUCCAUAAAAAUGAGAAAUGCUGGUCUGAUCAGCAGUUCACAAUUAAGGGUCUUCCAAGGGCCACAGGCUGAUUCAAAAAUCUCAAGGUGGGAUUUGGCUAGAGACAAAAAAGGAAGAAGAAAUAAAAGGGAUUGGCCUGUUUACUCAUGCAUUUCCUGUCUGUGACUCCAUCACACAGAGCCCGAAAGAGCUCCAUGGUCCCUAUGCAAUUGCCCAUCAUUGGCAGGACUCUGGAGGCUGGCUGCAGAGGGAGCCGGUGUGAAAGGUAUUCAGGAAACUUCUCAAAAGCCAAAGUGUUUUUAGAGCCAGACAGGAAGUCAUUAAAAUGUUUUAAGAGUUUUUGUCUGAGAUGAAUAUGAGAGCAUGCUGGAUUUAAUCAGGCAAUACGGCGAUGACCAAAGGAAGUGAAAUGCAAUCUGGGUGGAUUUCAGACUUCCUUCUACCCAAAAUGGAUGAAAAAUUGAGGUGACGGUUGAGAGAGCUAAACUGACAUGCUGCCAUUGUAAGUUGUAGAGUCAAGAAGAAUAACCUUGCACCCUGCGAUAGAUGAGAAAUAACAGGGUCACCUGUGUAGUCCUGGUCCCCCAAAUAAAUGAAACCUUGAGGAUUUCCAUACUUUACUGAUUUCAGAGUGGAAAACAGCAUUAUCCCUUAUUUCUGCAAUGCUGCUGUCAGGAGAUAUGAUGGGAACUUCAUGGUCAUAAUGAAGUGACAACAUUGCUGUUUUCCUCUGUGCACAGCCCAUCAUAAACUUGACGCUGGGCCAGGAUUCUCGAUAAGACCGUGACCCCCAACUUGGACACCCCGUAAGCGGAGUUGGGCCAGCCUUCCCUCUCAUGCACUUCAUUUUUUGUAUCCUCCACAAACUUUUUCAUGAGAUCCACCAGGUCCUCCUCUGUGAGAGUCUCGCAUCGGAACUUCUCCUGCAGAUCUUCGCUGCAGUUUUCAAGAGCUUUUGAACCCUGUAAACUACUGAUAUUCACCACUCUGCCUGAAACAGAAUAAUAAAAAAUCCAGAAGCAUGUCACAAAUAAACAA